rnacentral:rRNA from 1 species
UUGGGCGUUAAGUUGCAGGGUAUAGACCCGAAACCCGGUGAUCUAGCCAUGGGCAGGUUGAAGGUUGGGUAACACUAACUGGAGGACCGAACCGACUAAUGUUGAAAAAUUAGCGGAUGACCUGUGGCUGGGGGUGAAAGGCCAAUCAAACCGGGAGAUAGCUGGUUCUCCCCGAAAGCUAUUUAGGUAGCGCCUCGUGAAUUCAUCUCCGGGGGUAGAGCACUGUUUCGGCUAGGGGGCCAUCCCGGCUUACCAACCCGAUGCAAACUGCGAAUACCGGAGAAUGUUAUCACGGGAGACACACGGCGGGUGCUAACGUCCGUCGUGAAGAGGGAAACAACCCAGACCGCCAGCUAAGGUCCCAAAGUCAUGGUUAAGUGGGAAACGAUGUGGGAAGGCCCAGACAGCCAGGAUGUUGGCUUAGAAGCAGCCAUCAUUUAAAGAAAGCGUAAUAGCUCACUGGUCGAGUCGGCCUGCGCGGAAGAUGUAACGGGGCUAAACCAUGCACCGAAGCUGCGGCAGCGACACUGUGUGUUGUUGGGUAGGGGAGCGUUCUGUAAGCCUGCGAAGGUGGCCUGUGAGGGUUGCUGGAGGUAUCAGAAGUGCGAAUGCUGACAUAAGUAACGAUAAAGCGGGUGAAAAGCCCGCUCGCCGGAAGACCAAGGGUUCCUGUCCAACGUUAAUCGGGGCAGGGUGAGUCGACCCCUAAGGCGAGGCCGAAAGGCGUAGUCGAUGGGAAACGGGUUAAUAUUCCCGUACUUGGUGUUACUGCGAAGGGGGGACGGAGAAGGCUAUGUUGGCCGGGCGACGGUUGUCCCGGUUUAAGCGUGUAGGCUGGUUUUCCAGGCAAAUCCGG